GUAAUUAAUGCAAAAUUCAUCUCAUUAAACAGACUGCUCCAUUCUAGAUGACAGGGAUGCGACCCUGUGACAAUGUGCCACAACUCUGCACUCAUAUUUACUUCCUGGGGUCUCAGCCACAUCACACAAACCACAGGCUUAACCACACAGGGAGAUAAUCUAAAUAGUCUCAUACUGAGAGACCGUAGGCUGCUAUGGUCAGGAUGCUGUUGUGUAUCUUAAACAGAGACUUGUGAGUACCCAGACUGCUUAUUGGUAAUGACUACAUGCGCCAUUUAUCUAAAAUGCCAGGUCAAGUGUUUGAAUGAGAGACUAAGACGACUUCCCUUCAUGAUGAGGAAUUUCACUUAUGACCUUCUGUACAAGAUAUGAUACUCUUGAGAAAGAUCAUUUUUCUCCAUUAAUAGAAGUGUGUUUAUUAUGUAUGUUGCUAAAAUUCAUCAGACAUGUUUAUUUGUUAAUAUCCAUUCAAGAAGGAAUUUUAUAAUACAUAUGUUUUUUCCAGUGUUUUUUGGAGAUACUGCUUAUAGACAAGCUAAACACAAGACAAGAUUGUACUAGUAGCUGCCGUUACCAGCUGUACGGUGAAAUAAAUCAGAAUGUUAAAGGAACAGAAAAGAGAUAUAAUAAUAAAAGUCGUCAUUUUUUAAAAG